UACGGGGGGGGCAAGCGUUGUUCGGAAUUACUGGGCGUAAAGGGUUCGUAGGUGGCUUGCUAAGUCAGACGUGAAAUCCCUCAGCUUAACUGGGGAACUGCGUCUGAGACUGGUGAGCUUGAGUGCAGGAGAGGAACGCGGAAUUCCAGGUGUAGCGGUGAAAUGCGUAGAUAUCGGAAGGAACAUCAGUGGCGAAAGCGGCUUCCUGGACCAGCACCGACGUUCAGGCACGAAAGCGUGGGGAGCAAACAGG
rnacentral:rRNA from 1 species